rnacentral:rRNA from 1 species
CAAUAGCGUAUAUUUAAGUUGCUGCAGUUAAAAAGCUCGUAGUUGGAUUUCGGGUGGGAAUGGCCGGUCCGCCGUUUCGGUGUGCACUUGCUACGCCCACCUUGCUGCCGGGGACGUGCUCUUGAGUUCACGCUCGGGACACGGAGUCGGCGAGGUUACUUUGAGUAAAUUAGAGUGUUCAAAGCAGGCCUACGCUCUGAAUACAUUAGCAUGGAAUAACACGAUAGGGCUCUGGCCUAUCUUGUUGGUCUGUAGGACCGGAGUAAUGAUUAACAGGGACAGUCGGGGGCAUUCGUAUUUCAUUGUCAGAGGUGAAAUUCUUGGAUUUAUGAAAGACGAACUACUGCGAAAGCAUUUGCCAAGGAUGUUUUCAUUAA